UUUAACAUAGCCCACACCCACCCUCGAGCUCCUCUCUUCUACCCUGCAGCUCUUCUACCCUGCAGCCCCACGUUGUCCGCCGUCGAAGUCGAUGCCAUUAGCCGCCGAAGUCCCUUUAGAUCAUCGCACCGUCGAAGUCAAUUUCUGUAAGAUUCAUCACACCGUUCCACGAUCUGAGCGCGUUUUCUGUCAGGUCAAAGUCCGUUCGCUCCAUUGAGAUCCGUUCAGAUCUCAUGCUGUUUUGCGGUCGAAUUCCUCUGUGGGUUCGUGUCGUUCUUGCGUCGAUCUCUAGGUCUCGUGAUCCAUUGCUGCCAUGGGGAUUGUUGAGGUUACCUUGAACGGGUCUACAAAUAAGAACGCAGACACUAAAUUGAUGAGAGGCUUGAAGGAUGUAUUAGAAUUGAUUCAUCAGGACUCGUCUGCUAAUGUUGGUAUUUUAAUUUCACUAGUUUGAUUCCUGGGGUUUACUGUGUUGGGUUUGAUUUGUAGGGUAAUUAACCAACUUUCUUUUUCAUCUCAAUAAGAUUAAAAAAAAAAGGGUAUUUUGAACUAUUUUGGUUCUUCAUCAACUAGCAGUAAUGGUCACUGGGUAAGAUAGCUUAAAAUUUUCAUUUCACAAACGCAAGACCUUUAAUGAAUAUUCAAAAGCUCGUCGUGCCACAUUUUCAUAUUUAGAGUUUUGUUUAGACGUGUCAAUUAUGAUUUUUUAAAUCAGUUUUGUAUCAUGAUUAUAAGUUGAAGAUGUAAAACCCCCUUCAUUUCUAUGCUUAUAAUAUAUUUUCUAUCAUGGACUUUCUCUAGUUUGACUCUAGUUCUCCUGUAGUUGAAGGAGCAGCAGAUGGUGGACUUGGACUUACCGCUUGGCAUGUGCUUUUGUUUUCAUUGUUUAUGAAAAUUUAUUAGUUAUUCUUGUAAUGUCAAAUGCAUCAAAUUUUAACCAGCUUGUUUUGGAGAAAAAAUUAUCUGACAUGUUCUUUGUUGGCUUUAGACAGCUCUUCCUGUAUGGUCCAAACAAGAUUGCCGGAUGGAUUUCAACACAAAAUGUGAUAGCCAGCCAGCCAGCCUAGCUGCUUCUUUUUUUCCUUAUAUUCUGAAAUGGCCCUACUGCUGUACGACUCCAAACAGCGUACUGUUAUGCCAUGUUUUGCACGAGCUCAUCUCUGUGAUACAACUUGUUCUCCCUUUUGCUUAUAUUUGGCAGAUCCCAAAAGUUAUUUUGAUAUUAGUUUGAGAAAAAAUACUUCAUUCCUAACUGUUUGAAGAUUUAUGACUUCAUGAUAUUGCUGCAUUAUUGCAGGGUACAAAAACAGCACUGAAUUUACUUGUCGGCAAAUUUUGCACUUCCAUAACUAGACGCAGCUGCAAUAGGCUGGACAUUGGAAGUGGAGUAUAGUGAUUCUAUCAAAGGUUAAUAAUACCAUGUGAAGCACUACUGAUCGGUGUCUAAAGGGAAGAAAGUGAAAGAAGGAUUUGGGAUCGUUGAGUGGAACAUAGUGGCUGCACAAAGAAAGGCCUCGUAAAAAGGAUGCUUGCUUUGUUAAGCGUCCAAUGUUUAUGUGGAGCUGUCAUUGUUGGGAAAUCCAAUAUUCAUGAAGUUAGGGGAGGAUCGGCAAUCAACUUCUCAAGAAUGUGCUGUUUCAGCCAAAUUGUAAAACUCUUAUUAUGUUUGUUUGCAUACUAAAUCUCCGAUAUAUUAGGGUUAUCCCACUUAAGCUUGGCCAUGUGAAUUUCUACAUACUCCUUAACCUCUACAGAGUUGUGUAGUACAUAUAAAUGUGCUUGUUCCCAUUAUAAGUUGUAGAUUGUAACUACUUUAUUGCCCA